AUUUAUCCCACGCGCGCGAUUGUCACUUGGGCUCGUGAAGGAUGAUGAUGCUGGGCUGAGUGCACGAGCUCGUGCUGUAAGAAGUGGGAACACUGGAAUGCAGACCACACAUUAGAAAUGUCUGGGGUGCCACAAUCACAAGAGCAUGCAGCUGGUUAAACAUGGAGCUUUUCUCACUCUUUAUGCCGGGAUGCCGUUGUCAUGGUAGUGCACGAAGAAGAGAAGUACAAGCGCUUCAGGAAAUGAGAAGGAGCCUCUUCAAAAGACACGCAAGCUCUUGACCUUCAGAACAAACAAGAGAUCACACGCAUACACACAAAUACACAAAAUGCAACUCAAAUGACUUCAAACAGAACUACUGCCAUAAAGUAAUGAAUCAUAGCACGCACAUUCAUAUAAUGCACUGAAUGAAUUUUUAAUUAACAGAGCAAGUUAAUCUUAUGUAAGGCUAUUUGCUUUGUAGGGUGUGAAUGAAACUAUCAUUCUUUUUGUGCAUCCAAGGUUGUUUACUAUAUAUUCAAUUUGAGUCCUUAAUGCUUGAGCAUUUUUACAUAGCCUGGCAAACAGAUACUGUUAUGUGUAAUGCAAAAGCUUUUGUAUUUUUAUCUGCUGCUAUUACAUACUGCAUAUUCAUCACUAGGGGAUGCUAUGACUCUUUGUUUAGUGUGUCCUAUCCCUUGCUUUGAAUUUCAUGCUACAUGAAUACAAGUAUAGCAAUCCAAACACAUACAGGUUAGGCCUGUCCUUGCUAGGGCUGCAAACUUUACUUAAACAUUAGACUAAUUUAAAACAAUACCGCUUGAGAUUUCUUCGAAGGCUUAUUGAGAGGGCAUUAGAAUGCUUCAUUUUUAUGGCCUGGCCUUAAAUCAGCAGUUACCGCAGUCAACAGGAAACAUAUAAUCAUUAUUUUUCACUUAAGAGCCUGUGUAAUGUCAUCCAUCAAUUAUAGGAGACACCAGAUCCCACAAUUACUGUUAGGCCUAUACCACUGGAUGUAUCACAAUGGAUGUUACAUAAUGGUUUUAUUUAUCGCCAUUAUGUGUUUUAUAACAGCCUCAUAGGGGAUUAGUUAUUGUUUGGAUUUAUUGUAAUAGAUUUAUUGUAGGCACUGUUGGUUUUUGUUGCAUGGCUUAUUAUUUAAACAUACGAUUCAUUUUUAAUUAUACAUAUUUUCAUAAUUUGAUACUUUAUGAAUAGCAUAAUUUACUAUUCUAAUUAAAAUUUCACUAAACGCACUUAGCCACCAUAAAAACAAACAAGCAGGGCUGUCACAACAAAUGGCUGAAAAUAUGUGAUUCAGAUUUGCAUGAUAGAACAUGAAAACACAGAACAAGCUCUUUGUAAAUGUUUGACAGACGCGCCAUAUGUUUGGUAGUUAUGAUGCUGUUAUGAAAGCAGUUCGGCUCGGCUAUUUCUGCUGCUGGUGGUCAUAUGGCUCACAUCAGCUUUUUGGACACAGCUGGCUGAGGUCAAACUCCCUUUCCUCGCUCCGCAACAUGCUGACAGAAAGUUUUUCAGCCUUGCUUGAUGUGAGCCAAACGUCUCAUUGACACGUGAGGGCCGAGGUUUGGGAUGAAAUAUGUGGCAACAUGCAGCAAGACUGUGUCACCUGUUUCUAGCUGUUCAGGCGUUGUAAAAUUUUUGGUUAAAUUGUCAGCUGUGGUUGCUAGACAUUCACUGUAAUAAUACAAAAAUGCAGGCGGGUAAAGG